GUGAUCGCUUCGGCAGCACAUAUACUAAAAUUGGAACGAUACAGAGAAGAUUAGCAUGGCCCCUGCACAAGGAUGACAUGCAAAAUAUGGUAUAAUACUUUUGUUUCU